AGUGAACGCUGGCGGUAGGCCUAACACAUGCAAGUCGAACGGCAGCACAGUAAGAGCUUGCUCUUACGGGUGGCGAGUGGCGGACGGGUGAGGAAUACAUCGGAAUCUACUUUUUCGUGGGGGAUAACGUAGGGAAACUUACGCUAAUACCGCAUACGACCUACGGGUGAAAGCAGGGGAUCUUCGGACCUUGCGCGAUUGAAUGAGCCGGUGUCGGAUUAGCUAGUUGGCGGGGUAGUGGCCCACCAAGGCGACGAUCCGUAGCUGGUCUGAGAGGGUGACAGGACACAAUGGGACUGAGAUACGGCCCAGACUGCUAAGGGAGGCAGAAGGGGGGAAUAUUGCACAAGGGGAGGAAGCCUGAGGAAGAAACGCCGGGGGCGGGAUGACGGUCUUAGGGGUGUAAACCGCAUGAGCCUGUGACGAAGCGUGAGUGACGGUAAUGGGUAAAGAAGCACCGGAUAACUACGUG
rnacentral:rRNA from 1 species